CCUACGGGGGGCAGCAGUGAGGAAUAUUGGUCAAUGGGCGCGAGCCUGAACCAGCCAAGUCGCGUGAGGGAUGACGGCCCUACGGGUUGUAAACCUCUUUUGCCGGGGAGCAACGGGCGCCACGUGUGGCGGCACUGAGAGUACCCGAAGAAAAAGCAUCGGCUAACUCCGUUCCAGCAGCCGCGGUAAUACGGAGGAUGCGAGCGUUAUCCGGAUUUAUUGGGUUUAAAGGGUGCGUAGGCGGAUCGUUAAGUCAGUGGUCAAAUGGAGGGGCUCAACCCCUUCCCGCCAUUGAAACUGGCGUUCUUGAGUGGAAGAGAAGUAUGCGGAAUGCGUGGUGUAGCGGUGAAAUGCAUAGAUAUCACGCAGAACCCCGAUUGCGAAGGCAGCAUGCCGGCUUCCGACUGACGCUGAAGCACGAAAGCGUGGGUAUCGAACAGGAUUAGAUACCCUGGUAGUC
rnacentral:rRNA from 1 species